UGGGAACGCGAAGAACCUUACCAGGGUUUGACAUCCUACUAACGAAGUAGGGAUACAUUAGGUGCCCUUCGGGGAAAGUAGAGACAGGUGGUGCAUGGUUGUCGUCAGCUCGUGUCGUGAGAUGUUGGGUUAAGUCCCGCAACGAGCGCAAACCCCUAUUGUUAGUUGCUACGCAAGAGCACUCUAGCGAGACUGCCGUUGACAAAACGGAGGAAGGUGGGGACGACGUCAAAUUAUCAUGCCCCUUAUAUCCUGGGCCACACACGUACUACAAUGGCGGUUAACAGAGGGAUGCAAGACCGCGAGGUGGAGCAAAUCCCUAAAAACCGUCCCAGUUCGGAUUGCAGGCUGAAACUCGCCUGUAUGAAGUUGGAAUCGCUAGUAAUCGCGGACCAGCAUGCCGCGGUGAAUACG
rnacentral:rRNA from 1 species